rnacentral:lncRNA from 1 species
CUUGAGGGGCAGUGGCUAUAAGCCAAAGGAAAGGCAAGCAGGCUGCCCUGACACGAGGCAAAAGGAAUGCACAUCCUGGCUUCUGCAUAAGCAUUCUGCCACACUACGCAAGCCCAGGCUGUUCAUCACUUGCCAUCACAGGAAAACGGGGUAUGUGCCUGAGAGAGCCACUCACAGUGCCGAGCAUGGUGACGCAAAUCUUCUCGUUUGAACCUCUUCACCACGGGAUGGGGUAAGUAUUUAUGGCUGGCCUCCCUUCAUAGCUGAGGAAUCGGGGGCACAAAAAAGAGUAAACUAGCUUCACAAAGGCCAAGCAACCAGUUGGUGCCAGAGUCGGGUUCAAAUCUGAGUCUGUGCCUGCGUGGGACAAGAG